AUGUGCAUUCCUAAAUGAAAUGAAAAAAAAUCUACAAUUUUUAUGCAGACUUUUUACGCCUCGAAACGUUGAAACGUCAGUUGUUCUUGAAACUUCAGCCUAGUCGGAUCACACGAGCUCCUCGCGCUCCAACGUACUCGCUAUUCAUGCCGGGUAAUGUAAAUAUUUAUAAAAGCCAAGCGAUAGCGGCGGCCGCAUGAUGAAAAGCAAAAAACAACAAAACACACAAACAAAAACAAAAAAGUCGUACAGCAACAACAACACAGUUCGUUUUUUUCAAAAAAACAGCACACAUUAUUGUUGUUGCUAUGCCGUGUUGAAAGGUCAGGUGCUGAUAAGUAGUGAACACUCGAAUAUAACAAGACGACAAACAACAACAACAACACGAGUACCAGUAGCAGCAGCGGCAGUGCCAACAAGCUAUUGCUAGCUAGCUAGCAAUUCAACAGUGAUCGCGGCGUCAAAUUGUAUGAAUGUUUACAACAACAACAACAACACCAAGUGUAUUGCCAUACAAAUAGUAAGCGCUAGCGCUACUUUUGCAUUCAUUCAGCCGUUGAGUACGUAAACACACAACACACACACACACACGCGUCCACAUGUGCGCCACACCGCGAUCAGUUAAAUGGGUAGCAGCAGCGUUGCUGUGUGGAGCAUGGCUGUGGCGCGGCGCGGCAGUGACAAGCGCGUGACGCGUUGUGUUGUGGCAAGGCUUGGAUAUUCGUUUGAGUAAACACAUCGGUGCGCAGCACGUACGCUUUGGCGGAUCCAAAUGAUGGCAUUGCGGACUUCAGCCUGUUUAAAGCGAAUACUCUUCUACACUCAACCUAAAUUUAUUGACUGCUGAACAUUUACUACAAAACACUUGUAUUGGCAUUCCUUUGACACACUGUUAAUUCGAAGCCGUUAAUUUGAGUACAGUACUCAGUUUACUGUUAUUUGCAGUAUGUGUGCUACCGUUAGUUGUGUUUUAGUAACCAUAAUGGUUUAAGUACGCAUAAAAUCCUUGUAAAAUAUUGCGCAAAACUAAGUUUUUUGUCGCAUAUUUAUAUAUUUUUAGCUUAGCUAAUUAUUUCAACCGUUGAUGCUACAAUCGCGUUUGUGUUAUUAUUAGUCACUUAAACAGUAACGUAUUCAUAACUCAUUACUUGCUAUUUGAUUUAUACAGAGUGAUAAGCGCUCGCUAAGUCGAGCGUCAAGUCAACUCUCGCUCUCUCUCUCUCUCUACAAAUAAUGAUUUACAAACAAUUUUGUUUGAAAAUAAAUUUCCAUGAUUUAUUAAAAUUUUCCGAAAACUAUCCUUUGGAAUUGUAUCUUCAUGUAAAACUUUUUAACGCUUGGCGAACACCCCUGUUCCAACUAACCUACAUUUAAUUAAAUUCCUGCACUCACCUUAAUGUGUAUCAAGGAUAAAUAAAAUUACACACUUACCCUAAUGUGUAUCAAGGAUAACUAAAAUUAUGCACUCACCUUAAUUCGUAUCGAAGGGGACUAUAUAUUAGUUUACGGGAGGACUUUGUUUUAUUCAUACAAAUCCUCCCUUAAUAUAUUUGCUUCUAUAAAAUGACGGUUAACAUUACGGUUAACAUCUUUUUACUUGCUAGAGCUUGGUAUAUCUGUCUUGGUCUGUAAAAAAAUAUAUUUUUUUUUUUUGAUUUAAAAAAAUACAAACUCAACUUUACUCAUUCUGUGCUACAUCUUCUUCGAAAUCAUCAUUAACACACUGUUUUCCAUUCCUUGUCUAUGAACAAGUUGGAAAACAGAAUUGAACUGCAUCUAAAGCAGUGUUAAAAAACCAAUCCUUAUACGAAUUUCAUAUGAAAUAUUGCCUUCUAGUUUGUAGAGCUGAAAAAGCUUAGCUUUGACUAAAAAUGCCGUGACUUGGAAAAGGCUAAACAAAAUAUUUUUUCUGCAUUAUUGCUCAAAAAUAAACACUUAAAAUUUAGUAAAUAUGAAUCUAUUGUAAUAGAGAAUACUAGAUUUUAACACCUCCUUAUAAAAAUGUGUAAAAUUGAAAAUAAAAAACUUGAAAUAUAUUAAAAAAAAUUUA